UCCCUUUCCCAGCUGGCAAUGCUUAACUCCGCUGCCUGUCAGAGUCAGAAUUUGCUGGAGUCUCCUCCCAGACAAACAAGAUUGCCCAGUGUAGAGAAAGCAAGCGGUGAUCCGAGGAAAGGAGACACUGCAGCGAAAGCACGCCUGCUUGAGCUUGAGCCACAGCGCUAUUUAAAACCGAGCCGUAUUCUCUCCUGGCUGACUACAGUCCCCGAGGGAGCAGCCACCAGCCAAGCAGAGGGGACUCGUGCGGCGCCCCGGCCUCACACUUGAUACAGUCAACCUCAGGGAUGACUUGCGGAGGAACCGUCACAGCCAUCCUGGAACGAAGCAAAUGCUGCCCCGCGGGGGUUUUCCCACCGUGCACCCCGCCUGGUACGGGCUCUUGUUGGGCAGUGAAAAAGCUCUCCGGGUCUUUGGCUCUGUGAGCUUUUAAACUGUAUUGUUAAAAGGAGAGCUAACGGAAUUAGCUAAAUCCCGUGUUGGUUUAAAAAUGUCUCGGAAAUGAAACCUGGGAGAGUGCACCAGAUCAGAGGUGCUCACGACAAACAAAUUAGCAGGAGCAGCCGAACUCCUAUAUAUGUCUCACAAGUAACUACAAAUCUAUCUUUACAGAAGCAGCUCAGUUAAGUUUUUAGUUGCUGAAGAUAUGUUUUUAAGACUCUUGCACAAGCCAACCGUUCAAAGUUAUACCAUCUGAAUUGAUGAACUCAUCAGCUCAGCUGGAAAGCACAUCAACUGGGAAAUGCAUCUGAAGUGCAUAUUGCAUUAACACACAAAUUUAAUUUAAAGGAAGAAGCGCUUUAUGGAUUUUAAAACUAGUACUUAAGAUCUGCAGAUUGCUCCAUCUCAACUACCGUGAUAAAAAUAGCAAAAUGGUCUAGGAACGGUGACUGCUGGUUUCUAUUUUAUGCUAAAUUUUAGUCUACAUGGCUCAUGAAUGAACAAGUGUUAAAAUAAGGUUUGAGAAAGCACACAGUUAAUUGGGAAGAUAAAUGUUUAAAAGGAUUAAAAAAAUCAAGUGUUGCUA